rnacentral:misc_RNA from 1 species
GCAAACUUGGUCAUUUAGAGGAAGUAAAAGUCGUAACAAGGUUUCCGUAGGUGAACCUGCGGAAGGAUCAUUAUUGAAUCAAACAUGGCAAAGGCUGUCGCUGGCUCUUUGGAGCAUGUGCACGCUUGCUGCCAGUUUCUUUCAAAAAUUCUUACCUCUCUGUGCACCUCUGUGUAGUGCUUGUCAAGUGAGAAAUAUGCAUACAUGAUUUCAAGGUUGGCCUUAGACGGCCUUCCUUGUAGUAAUAAUAUGCUUGCAUGUCUACGAGCUUGGUGGCAUCUACAUUGUAUUUCUUAUAUAUACACUAAGCCUGUUAAAUGUCUUGAUGAAAUAAAGUUUAUACAACUUUCAACAACGGAUCUCUUGGCUCUCGCAUCGAUGAAGAACGCAGC